CGGGGGGGCAAGCGUUGUUCGGAAUUACUGGGCGUAAAGGGUGCGUAGGCGGCUUUCUAAGUUGGAUGUGAAAACUCUGGGCUCAACCCAGAGCCUGCAUCCAAAACUGGAGAGCUUGGGUACUGGAGGGGAAAGCGGAAUUCCUGGUGUAGCGGUGAAAUGCGUAGAUAUCAGGAGGAACACCGGUGGCGAAGGCGGCUUUCUGGACAGUUACCGACGCUGAGGCACGAAAGCUAGGGGAGCAAACAGGAUUAGAUACCCUGGUAGUCCUAGCCCUAAACGAUGGAUACUUGCUGUGAGGGGGAUUGAAACCCUUUGUGGCGAAGCUAACGCAUUAAGUAUCCCGCCUGGGGAGUACGGUCGCAAGGCUG
rnacentral:rRNA from 1 species